CAGACGAACGCUGGCGGCGUGCUUAACACAUGCAAGUCGAACGGGAAGACAUGAAGAGCUUGCUCUUUAUGAAAUCCAGUGGCAAACGGGUGAGUAACACGUAAACAACCUGCUUCAGGAUGGGGACAACAGACGGAAACGACUGCUAAUACCGAAUACGAUUCUUGAGUCGCAUGACACAAGAAAGAAAGGGUGGCCUCUACUUGUAAGCUAUCGCCUGAAGAGGGGUUUGCGUCCGAUUAGGUAGUUGGUGAGGUAACGGCCCACCAAGCCGACGAUCGGUAGCCGGUCUGAGAGGAUGAACGGCCACAUUGGAACUGAGACACGGUCCAGACUCCUACGGGAGGCAGCAGUGGGGAAUCUUCCGCAAUGGGCGAAAGCCUGACGGAGCAACGCCGCGUGAGUGAAGACGGCCUUCGGGUUGUAAAACUCUGUGAUUCGGGACGAAAGAUAAGUAGACGAAUAAUCUGCAUAAGUGACGGUAC
rnacentral:rRNA from 1 species